rnacentral:rRNA from 1 species
UGGGGAAUAUUGGACAAUGGGCGCAAGCCUGAUCCAGCCAUGCCGCGUGUGUGAAGAAGGCCUUUUGGUUGUAAAGCACUUUAAGCGAGGAGGAGGCUACUUGGAUUAAUACUCUAGGAUAGUGGACGUUACUCGCAGAAUAAGCACCGGCUAACUCUGUGCCAGCAGCCGCGGUAAUACAGAGGGUGCGAGCGUUAAUCGGAUUUACUGGGCGUAAAGCGUGCGUAGGCGGCUUCUUAAGUCGGAUGUGAAAUCCCUGAGCUUAACUUAGGAAUUGCAUUCGAUACUGGGAAGCUAGAGUAUGGGAGAGGAUGGUAGAAUUCCAGGUAUAGCGGUGAAAUGCGUAGAGAUCUGGAGGAAUACCGAUGGCGAAGGCAGCCAUCUGGCCUAAUACUGACGCUGAGGUACGAAAGCAUGGGGAGCAAACAGG